rnacentral:rRNA from 1 species
UAGGGGGCAAGCGUUAUCCGGAUUUACUGGGUGUAAAGGGAGCGUAGACGGCAAGGCAAGCCUGGAGUGAAAGGCGGGGGCCCAACCCCCGGACUGCUCUGGGAACCGCCUGGCUGGAGUGCAGGAGGGGUAAGCGGAAUUCCUAGUGUAGCGGUGAAAUGCGUAGAUAUUAGGAGGAACACCGGUGGCGAAGGCGGCUUACUGGACUGUGACUGACGUUGAGGCUCGAAAGCGUGGGGAGCGAA